UGGGCUAUCGCCAAGCGGCAAGGCACAGGACUUUGACUCCUGGAUUCGUUGGUUCAAAUCCAACUAGCCCAG
rnacentral:tRNA from 1 species